GGGCUCACUUCGGCAGCACAUAGACUAAAAUUGGAAUGAUGCAGAGAUUAGCAUGGUCCCUGCUGAAGGAUGGCAUGCCAAUCAGUAUAUAAAAACGAAGAGAAGUU
ensembl:snRNA U6 U6 spliceosomal RNA